rnacentral:rRNA from 1 species
AGCGAACGCUGGCGGCAGGCCUAACACAUGCAAGUCGAACGGAUCCUUCGGGAUUAGUGGCGGACGGGUGAGUAACACGUGGGAACGUGCCCUUUGGUUCGGAACAACUCAGGGAAACUUGAGCUAAUACCGGAUGUGCCCUUCGGGGGAAAGAUUUAUCGCCAUUGGAGCGGCCCGCGUCUGAUUAGCUAGUUGGUGAGGUAAAGGCUCACCAAGGCGACGAUCAGUAGCUGGUCUGAGAGAAUGAUCAGCCACAUUGGGACUGAGACACGGCCCAAACUCCUACGGGAGGCAGCAGUGGGGAAUCUUGCGCAAUGGGCGAAAGCCUGACGCAGCCAUGCCGCGUGAAUGAUGAAGGUCUUAGGAUUGUAAAAUUCUUUCACCGGGGACGAUAAUGACGGUAUACGGAGAAGAAGCCCCGGCUAACUUCGUGCCAGCAGCCGCCGUAACAC